GACGGGGGGGGCAAGUGUUCUUCGGAAUGACUGGGCGUCAAGGGCACGUAGGCGGUGAAUCGGGUUGAAAGUGAAAGUCGCCAAAAAGUGGCGGAAUGCUCUCGAAACCAAUUCACUUGAGUGGGACAGAGGAGAGUGGAAUUUCGUGUGUAGGGGUGGAAAUCCGUAGAUCUACGAAGGAAGGCCAAAAGCGAAGGCAGCUCUCUGGGGUCCCCUCACCGAGGGCUGGGGAUGGGCGAAAGC
rnacentral:rRNA from 1 species